rnacentral:rRNA from 1 species
GGCUGCCCYSUWAUAUAUAAAUAGGGAGUCGGACCUGCCCAGUGAGUUUUUUCAACGGCCGCGGUACUCUGACCGUGCAAAGGUAGCAUAAUCAUUUGCCUUAUAACUGAAGGCUAGUAUGAAUGGUUUGACAAGAAUAUAACUGUCUCUUUGUAAUUAAUAAGAAUUUUAUUUUUAGGUGAAGAAGCCUAAAUACAAUUGAAAGACAAGAAGACCCUAUCGAGCUUGAAAAGAGUUAGUAAGAGUACUUAUCAAUAAGAUAUUAAUGUUAUUUAUUAAAAAUUUUAGUUGGGGCGACUAAGGAACAAAAAAAGCUUCCUUUAUAACUUAUAAAUCAAGACAAACAGGUAUAGAUCCAAGAACUUUGAUUAAAGAAAUUAGUUACCGUAGGGAUAACAGCAUUAUCCCCUUUGAGAGUUCAUAUCGAAAAGGGGGUUUGUGACCUCGAUGUUGGACCAGAAUAUCCUGAAGAUGUAGCCGUCUUUAAGGGUUGGUCUGUUCGACCAUUAAAAUUCUACGUGAUCUGAGUUCAGACCGGCGUGAGCCAGGUCAGUUUCUAUCUUCAAUUCCCUAAAUAAACUUAGUACGAAAGGACCAGAUUAUUACAAACUAAUUGUUAGAGUAAAGAUAAAAUAUAAUGAGUUUAUAAAUAUUUAAGUUUUAAUUAAUUAAGUAAAAUCAAAUUAGCAAAAAUAAUGCAAUUGACUUAGGAUCAGUAGACAUAGGUGAAAUUCCUUUAUUUGAUAUUUCACUUUGUAUUUAUGAAGUACAUUAGUAAUAAAGGUGGCAGAAUAAA